rnacentral:rRNA from 1 species
CCUACGGGAGGCAGCAGUGGGGAAUAUUGCACGAUGGGCGAAAGCCUGAUGCAGCGACGCCGCGUGAGGGAUGACGGCCUUCGGGUUGUAAACCUCUUUCAGCAGGGAAGAAGCGAAAGUGACGGUACCUGCAGAAGAAGCGCCGGCUAACUACGUGCCAGCAGCCGCGGUAAUACGUAGGGCGCAAGCGUUGUCCGGAAUUAUUGGGCGUAAAGAGCUCGUAGGCGGCUUGUCACGUCGGUUGUGAAAGCCCGGGGCUUAACCCCGGGUCUGCAGUCGAUACGGGCAGGCUAGAGUGUGGUAGGGGAGAUCGGAAUUCCUGGUGUAGCGGUGAAAUGCGCAGAUAUCAGGAGGAACACCGGUGGCGGAGGCGGAUCUCUGGGCCAUUACUGACGCUGAGGAGCGAAAGCGUGGGGAGCGAACAGGAUUAGAUACCCUGGUAGUCCACGCCGUAAACGGCGGGAACUAGGUGUUGGCGACAUUCCACGUCGUCGGUGCCGCACUACGCAUAAGUUCCCGCCUGGGAUACGGCCGCAAGGCUAAAACUACGAAGUAUAGCGUGNGAGAGCGACGACGACGACGAGGAGGAG